GUUAACGAAACUCGGUGGCAUUCAUCCGACUAGUACUGCUGUCGGCCGUUCGGCUGUACCACCCUUGAUUGGGUGGCGGCUGUAUGGCUCGACUGGUGGCGCUCGGUUGGUGCUUUUGCCAUCGGUAUGCGCUGAGAGGUCCGCUGCGGUGCGUUGAAGCCGAGCAAAGAGGACCGCGCCCCUCGCGGGUGUGGAAACCUUUGCCGGUCGAGGCGUGUCCGCGGUGAGCCGUUAUUCGCUACUGCAACGCAUGCUAGUAGGCGCAACGGUUGUCACGGGUCGGCGUGAUUGUUGAGCGGUCGCUUGCGACUUGCUUACAGUCGAUGCUGGCUCGUCUGACGAUGCGGUUGCGUCUAGCGUUGCAUCUCGGUGUGAAAGUUGACCACCUAUCCGACCCGUCUUGAAACACGGACCAAGGAGUUUAGCAUAUGCGCGAGUCAUUGGGUGGUAAACCUAAAGGCGAAAUGAAAGUAAAGGUGGCUUUAGUGCUGUUGAUAUGGGAUCUGCAGGCUGCCUGCAGCGCACCAUAGCCCCGUCCUUGUUGCUUGCAAUAGGGCGGAGGUAGAGCGCAUACGCUGAGACCCGAAAGAUGGUGAACUAUGCCUGAGCAGGAUGAAGCCAGAGGAAACU
rnacentral:rRNA from 1 species